rnacentral:snRNA from 1 species
GUACUCAUUUUGGCAGCAUAUACUAAAAUUGGAAAAAUACAAAGAAGAUUAGUAUGGACCAUGAACAAAGAUGACACGUAACUUUGCGAACCAUUCCAUAUUUUU